rnacentral:rRNA from 1 species
AGCGAACGCUGGCGGCAGGCCUAACACAUGCAAGUCGAACGAAGCCUUCGGGCUUAGUGGCGGACGGGUGAGUAACACGUGGGAACGUACCUUUUGGUUCGGAAUAACGCAGAGAAAUUUGCGCUAAUACCGAAUGAGCCCUUAGGGGGAAAGAUUUAUCGCCGAAAGAUCGGCCCGCGUUGGAUUAGGUAGUUGGUGUGGUAAAGGCGCACCAAGCCUACGAUCCAUAGCUGGUCUGAGAGGAUGAUCAGCCACACUGGGACUGAGACACGGCCCAGACUCCUACGGGAGGCAGCAGUGGGGAAUCUUGCGCAAUGGGCGAAAGCCUGACGCAGCCAUGCCGCGUGAAUGAUGAAGGUCUUAGGAUUGUAAAAUUCUUUUACCAGGGACGAUAAUGACGGUACCUGGAGAAAAAGCCCCGGCUAACUUCGUGCCAGCCGCCGCCGUAAUAC